rnacentral:tRNA from 1 species
GCCCCCGUUGUCUAAUGGUUAUGAUAUCAGACUUCUAAUCUGAAGGUUGCGAGUUCGAGUCUCGCCGGGGGUU